GAUGAACGCUGGCGGCAUGCCUUACACAUGCAAGUCGAACGGUAACGGGCCUUCGGGUGCCGACGAGUGGCGAACGGGUGAGUAACAUAUCGGAACGUACCUUUCAGUGGGGGAUAACGUAGCGAAAGUUACGCUAGUACCGCAUAUUCUGUGCGCAGGAAAGCAGGGGACCUUCGGGCCUUGCGCUGAUUGAGCGGCCGAUAUCAGAUUAGCUAGUUGGUGAGGUAAAGGCUCACCAAGGCGACGAUCUGUAGCGGGUCUGAGAGGAUGAUCCGCCACACUGGAACUGAGACACGGUCCAGACUCCUACGGGAGGCAGCAGUGGGGAAUUUUGGACAAUGGGGGCAACCCUGAUCCAGCCAUGCCGCGUGAGUGAAGAAGGCCUUCGGGUUGUAAAGCUCUUUCGGCCGGGAAGAAAUCGUAUGGGCUAAUACCCUGUGCGGAUGACGGUACCGGCAUAAGAAGCACCGGCUAACUACGUGCCAGCCGCCGCAGUAACAC
rnacentral:rRNA from 1 species